CAACGUACGAAGAACGGACCCCUGGAGACAAAGGAGCUACAGAUCUGCAUACCCAGUGAGCUUGAAGCCAAGAAGUUGCCUUUCACUGAACUAUUUAUGGAAUUGGCCAGGUGAUCCUUUUUAGGGUUAAAAGGAUGGCAAGCUUUUCACAACUGGCUGGGCCAGGAGAACCUGAUAUUCCCUCCAUGCUGAUCUAGUAGGGGGCUGAUGGUCUGUAGCAUUUUUCCUUUCCUUCUCAUCAUACCGACACACAAUUCAUGAUUCAUCUCUUCUCCGUUGGACACAAUUUGCGCUUAGGCAUUUUUCACCUCAAAUAACUGGACAAUCAAACUAUGGACUUUUGAAAUGUGUGUCAGUCAGACAUGGUGCUGACUGGUGGGGAAAUGCAGGAGUUUUGUGCACAUUCAUGAAGAUCUACUGCAGUGUUGUAUGUAUUUAUAUUGUUUGGGUCUAUGUAUGUUUUGUGGUGUUUUAUUUUUUUCCCUUGCUUUAAAAAUACAUAUUAAAAGCAGUUAUUCUUUUGUAUUGGUUUUUCAUUAAUCACUGACAACAGCUCCUGCAGACA